AUUGAACGCUGGCGGCAGGCCUAACACAUGCAAGUCGAGCGGAGGAAGGAAGCUGGCUCCUGGAUUGAGCAGCAGACGGGUGAGGGAGGCCUAGGAAUGGGACUGUGCGUGAUGGAUAGGGUCAAGUAACGGGAGCGGAUGCCACAUACGCCCAGAGUGGGAAGAUGAGGGAGCUGCGGACCUCGGCCUAUCGGAUGAGCCUAGGUCGGAUUAGCUAGUUGGUGGGGUAAGGGCCUACCAAGGCGACGAUCCGUAACUGGUCUGAGAGGAUGAGCAGCCACACUGGAACUGAGACACGGUCCAGACUCCUACGGGAGGCAGCAGUGGGGAAUAUUGGACAAUGGGCGAAAGCCUGAUCCAGCCAUGCCGCGUGUGUGAAGAAGGUCUUCGGAUUGUAAAGCACUUUCAGUUGGGAGGAAGGGCAGUAAGUUAAUACCUUGCUGUUUUGACGUUACCAACAGAAUAAGCACCGGCUAACUCCGUG
rnacentral:rRNA from 1 species